CACGUAGGGUGCGAGCGUUGUCCGGAAUUAUUGGGCGUAAAGAGCUCGUAGGCGGUGUGUCGCGUCGGCCGUGAAAACCUGCAGCUUAACUGUGGGCUUGCGGUCGAUACGGGCAUCACUGGAGUUCGGCAGGGGAGACUGGAAUUACCGGUGUAGCGGUGAAAUGCGCAGAUAUCGGGAGGAACACCGGUGGCGAAGGCGGUUCUCUGGGCCUUACCUGACGCUGAGGAGCGAAAGCGUGGGGAGCGAACAGG
rnacentral:rRNA from 1 species